rnacentral:lncRNA from 1 species
GACAGGGAUACUGGAGUGAUGGAGGUAGAUGUGUAUAGGGGACAGGGAUACUGGAGUGAUGGAGGUAGAUAUGUAUAGGGGGAAGGGGACAGGGAUACUGGAGUGAUGGAGGUAGAUAUGUAUAGGGGACAGGGAUACUAGAGUGAUGGAGGUAGAUAUGUAUAGGGGGAAGGGAUACUGGAGUGAUGGAGGUAGAUAUGUAUAGGGGACAGGGAUACUGGAGUGAUGGAGGUAGAUAUGUAUAGGGGGAAGGGGACAGGGAUACUGGAGUGAUGGAGGUAGAUAUGUAUAGGGGACAGGGAUACUAGAGUGAUGGAGGUAGAUAUGUAUAGGGGACAGGGAUACUGGAGUGAUGGAGGUAGAUGUGUAUAGGGAACAGGGAUACUGGAGUGAUGGAGGUAGAUAUGUAUAGGGGGAAGGGGACAGGGAUACUGGAGGGAUGGAGGUAGAUAUGUAUAGGGGGAAGGAGACUAUAUACAGGGUCAAUUCCAGUUUAUUUUUGUCACUGGAGGUUGGUGGCACCUUAAAUGGGGAGGACAUUCUCAUAGUAAUGGCUGGAACAGAAUAAAUGGAAUGGUAUCAAACACACAGUUUCUAUGGUUUCCAUGUGUUAUUACCACUCCAUACCAGACGUUAUUACGAGAGAGAGGGGAGGAAGAGGGGACAGAAGGGAGGAAGGAGAGA